rnacentral:rRNA from 1 species
UUCGCAAUGCCCGAAAGGGUGACAAUGCGACGCCGCGUGAGCGAUGAAGUCCUUCGGGAUGUAAAGCUCUGUCAGCCCGGAUGAAUAUUUGCUUUUUAAUAGGAAGCAGAGACGACAGUACGGGCAGAGGAGGCCACGGCUAACUCCGUGCCAGCAGCCGCGGUAAUACAGAGGUGGCAAGCGUUGUUCGGAAUUAUUGGGCGUAAAGAGCACGUAGGUGGGUUUGUAAGUCAGAUGUGAAAGCCUUCUGUUCAACAGAAGAAUUGCAUCUGAAACUGCGAGUCUUGAGUGUAGGAGGGGAGAAUGGAACUUCUGGUGGAGCGGUGAAAUGCGUAGAUAUCAGAAGGAACGCCGGCGGCGAAAGCGAUUCUCUGGCCUAUUACUGACACUCAGUGUGCGAAAGCUAGGGGAGCAAACGGGAUUAGAUACCCCGGUAGUCCUAGCCGUAAACGAUGGGCACUAAGUAGAGGGGUUUU